GACGAACGCUGGCGGCGUGCUUAACACAUGCAAGUCGAACGGAAAGGCCCUGCUUUUGUGGGGUGCUCGAGUGGCGAACGGGUGAGUAACACGUGAGUAACCUGCCCUUGACUUUGGGAUAACUUCAGGAAACUGGGGCUAAUACCGGAUAGGAGCUCCUGCUGCAUGGUGGGGGUUGGAAAGUUUCGGCGGUUGGGGAUGGACUCGCGGCUUAUCAGCUUGUUGGUGGGGUAGUGGCUUACCAAGGCUUUGACGGGUAGCCGGCCUGAGAGGGUGACCGGCGUCAUUGGGCCUAAGGUACGCACCAGACUGCAACGGGAGGCAGAGGUGGGGAAUAUUGCACAAUGGGCGGAAGCCUGAUGCAGCGGCGCCGCGUGCGGGAUGACGGCCUUCGGGUUGUAAACCGCUUUCGCCUGAGACGAAGCGUGAGUGACGGUAAUGGGUAAAGAAGCACCGGCUAACUACGUG
rnacentral:rRNA from 1 species